CAGUCGUAACAAGGUAACCGUAAGGGGUACUCGAGUGGCGAACGGGUGAGUAACACGUGGGUGAUCUGCCCUGCACUUUGGGAUAAGCCUGGGAAACUGGGUCUAAUACCGAAUACACCCUGCUGGUCGCAUGGCCUGGUGGGGGAAAGCUUUUGCGGUGUGGGAUGGGCCCGCGGCCUAUCAGCUUGUUGGUGGGGUGAUGGCCUACCAAGGCGACGACGGGUAGCCGGCCUGAGAGGGUGUCCGGCCACACUGGGACUGAGAUACGGCCCAGACUCCUACGGGAGGCAGCAGUGGGGAAUAUUGCACAAUGGGCGCAAGCCUGAUGCAGCGACGCCGCGUGAGGGACGACGGCCUUCGGGUUGUAAACCUCUUUCAGCACAGACGAAGCGCAAGUGACGGUAUGUGCAGAAGAAGCACCGGCCAACUACGUGCCAGCAGCCGCGGUAAUACGUAGGGUGCGAGCGUUGUCCGGAAUUACUGGGCGUAAAGAGCUCGUAGGUGGUUUGUCGCGUUGUUCGUGAAAACUCACAGCUCAACUGUGGGCGUGCGGGCGAUACGGGCAGACUGGAGUACUGCAGGGGAGACUGGAAUUCCUGGUGUAGCGGUGGAAUGCGCAGAUAUCAGGAGGAACACCGGUGGCGAAGGCGGGUCUCUGGGCAGUAACUGACGCUGAGGAGCGAAAGCGUGGGGAGCGAACAGGAUUAGAUACCCUGGUAGUCCACGCCGUAAACGGUGGGUACUAGGUGUGGGUUUCCUUCCUUGGGAUCCGUGCCGUAGCUAACGCAUUAAGUACCCCGCCUGGGGAGUACGGCCGCAAGGCUAAAACUCAAAGAAAUUGACGGGGGCCCGCACAAGCGGCGGAGCAUGUGGAUUAAUUCGAUGCAACGCGAAGAACCUUACCUGGGUUUGACAUGCACAGGACGCUGGUAGAGAUAUCAGUUCCCUUGUGGCCUGUGUGCAGGUGGUGCAUGGCUGUCGUCAGCUCGUGUCGUGAGAUGUUGGGUUAAGUCCCGCAACGAGCGCAACCCUUGUCUCAUGUUGCCAGCGGGUAAUGCCGGGGACUCGUGAGAGACUGCCGGGGUCAACUCCGAAGGAAAGGUGGGGGAUGACGUUCAAGUCAUCAUGCCCCUUUAUG
rnacentral:rRNA from 1 species